GGUUCGUACAAAACACAGGGGGCGACCAAGAAACCCCCAUCAAACCCUACUUCAUGUAAAUUGCUCAAAUUGAAGACCAAAUUCAGUUCCAAAUCGAUUUCCAAGCACGAAAUUAUGAUCUCCUCUAAAAAGGGAUCAUAAGGUAAGGAAUUCGGAUCGUCAAGUGGACAAGCCGGCGGAGAUACGCGUUUGAAGAGGGUGCUUUAAAGGUAUGGAUGAGGACCUCUCGGAUGAUGAUCAAGUACAUUGUAAGGAACCGAACACGUAUUUUGAAGCUUCCGCACUAAACUAAAUCUUGUCUUGACUUUAAUCAUGUUGUAAAUGUUUUGUUAAUCGUGUUUUGAAUCCUUCAAACUAGUUGUUAGCUGACUAGUAAGGAUUAACUUUAAACUUGUUAUGCAUUAACUUAUGUU